CUGUGCGUGUGUGUUCAUUAUGAGUGUGGACUAAAUAUUGAUGUCACUACUGAAAGAGCAAAGAAGAGCAAUGAUAUGUCCAUGUGCUAUGCUCCGUCCUGCGCGCAUCCUCCAUCUCCCGAGUGCUGCCACGAAGAGCUGUUCCCCAUCAGCGGUCUGGCGGUGACAGCUCCUCCCGCUCCACACAUACUGACCGCGGGCUCCAUCGUACAGGAAGGCUUUGCAUGGAAGUCCGAGACAGGCAUCAUUGAAUAAUACCCUGAAAUAUCUUCGUUCGGGGAAAGAUUCCCUCUCAUUCUUUGGAUGUGAAGAUGUGAUAAACUACCGUAGUAAAAUAAACACAACCUCAAGAAAAUAAAGAAGAAUCCAGAUAAA